UACAGAGGGUGCAAACGUUGCUCGGAAUUACUGGGCGUAAAGCGCGCGUAGGCGGCUUUGUAAGUUAGAGGUGAAAGCCCGGAGCUCAACUCCGGAACUGCCUUUAAAACUGCAUCGCUUGAAUCCAGGGGAGGUGAGUGGAAUUCCGAGUGUAGAGGUGAAAUGCGUGGAGAUGCGGAGGAACACCGAUGGCGAAGGCAGCCCCCUGGGCCGACAUUGACGCUCAGGCACGAAAGCGUGGGGAGCAAACAGG
rnacentral:rRNA from 1 species